UACGUAGGGUGCGAGCGUUGUCCGGAAUUAUUGGGCGUAAAGAGCUCGUAGGCGGUGUGUCGCGUCGGUCGUGAAAACUUGGGGCUUAACCCUGAGCUUGCGGUCGAUACGGGCAUCACUGGAGUUCGGCAGGGGAGACUGGAAUUCCUGGUGUAGCGGUGAAAUGCGCAGGAUAUCAGGAAGAACACCCGUGGCUAAGGCGGUUCUCCUAGUACGGUACUGACGCUGAGACGCGAAAGCGUGGGGAGCGAACAGG
rnacentral:rRNA from 1 species